ensembl:snRNA U6 U6 spliceosomal RNA
GUGCUUGCUCCAGCAGCACAUAUAUUAAAAUAAGAACAAUACAGAGAAGAUUAGCAUGGCCCCUUUGCAAGGAUGACAUGCAAAUUUGUGAAGCAUCCCAUAUUUUG